GUGGCUUGAGACCUUCUUUUUAAAACAACGUGCUAACUGACGAACAAACAAAAAAACAAACUAACAUGGCGGAUCGAAAACAUAACCGUUUUGUGGCGACAGUAGCCUAAUUAAUCAAAGUCACCCAAAACAAAAUGACUGAAAGGCAUGAAGAACUACUGUGAGAUUGAAUGUAUUCAUUGUUCAAUCUGUUCCCAGCAGGAGGAUAAGAGAGAGUGCCAUCUAGAGGGGAUUGCAAAAUUCCAGGCCCUGACAUGAACAAUCAUCUUGGCACGACCGUAUACAAUGAAAGGCUGAGCUGAAGAGGACGACGAUGGAGCAUAUAAAAAGACUUGACACAAUGAGUCCAACCCCAAAGUUUGUCACUUGGCAGCCAUCCUGUCAAAACAACAACCCGGACUUUUGGAGCUGGUGUCGAGGCCCAGGUUGGCUUUUGCUGGCAGCUGGAUGGCAGAGAGGCUCUGAACUCUCGCUCAGGUCACUCAUCUCUGGGUGUUCAGGGGGUUGUGGCUAGAAGGGAUACGCAGCUAUGGCGUUUAGCCGAGAAAAAGUGGCAAAGUUUAGGCACCAAAACUAGUUAAGUUUAGGAAAACACUCCCGAAGAACGAACACGCAUUUCCUGGGGAAAAGUAUUAAACUUAGCGUUUAGAUUUGAUUUUGCGAGAUUUUAGUGAGCGUAAUUUACAGCCGUAGCUGAAAGCCUUCUAGCCACAACCUGUUUAGGGUCAGUGCGAGCCAUAUUGGCAGUACAGGCUGUGCAAACUCAAUCUCAUGUCUGUGCCCUACAUGUAGAGGUGAAGUCAGGAUGUGUUUAGCCUAACCUUGCAUUAAACUGAAUGCAGGGAGAAACAGCCCGGUGUAUAUAUACGUACAGUUACAUUUUAUGCAUUGAUUUGAACCUAUUGGAUAAUGAUUAAUGAGCCAUCAAGCAAAAAAAACGUUGGAAACUAAAGCUAUCUACUGCAUAGUAACCUAUACAUUUUUUUAAGAAUGUAAAUUUUGGCUGUAUGGAUGUGUUAUAAAACAGUUUGAGUACGAAUGGAUAAGUGGCUCCAGAAAAACAAACAAAAAAAAAAACCGCUUGAAUAACUCAAACAUUUAACACGCACAAAA